rnacentral:rRNA from 1 species
AUUGAACGCUGGCGGCAGGCUUAACACAUGCAAGUCGAGCGAUGAAGCUCCUUCGGGAGUGGAUUAGCGGCGGACGGGUGAGUAACACGUGGGUAACCUGCCUCAUAGAGGGGAAUAGCCUUCCGAAAGGAAGAUUAAUACCGCAUAAGAUUGUAGUGCCGCAUGGUAUAGCAAUUAAAGGAGUAAUCCGCUAUGAGAUGGACCCGCGUCGCAUUAGCUAGUUGGUGAGGUAACGGCGCACCAAGGCGACGAUGCGUAGCCGACCUGAGAGGGUGAUCGGCCACAUUGGGACUGAGACACGGCCCAGACUCCUACGGGAGGCAGCAGUGGGGAAUAUUGCACAAUGGGGGAAACCCUGAUGCAGCAACGCCGCGUGAGUGAUGACGGUCUUCGGAUUGUAAAGCUCUGUCUUCAGGGACGAUAAUGACGGUACCUGAGGAGGAAGCCACGGCUAACUACGUGCCAGCCGCCGCCGUAA